rnacentral:rRNA from 1 species
GCGCGAAAACUUUACACUGCGGGAAACCGCGAUAAGGGGACCCCGAGUGCCAGCACCUAGUGCUGGCUGUCCUACUGUCUAAAUAACAGUGGUUAGCAAGGGCCGGGCAAGACCGGUGCCAGCCGCCGCGGUAACACCGGCGGCCCGAGUGGUAACCGUUUUUAUUGGGUUUAAAGGGUCCGUAGCCGGCUUACUAAGUCUCUUGGGAAAUCUGGCGGCUCAAUCGUCAGGCGUCCAAGAGAUACUGGUAGGCUUGGGACCGGGAGAGGUGGGAGGUACUCCAGGGGUAGGGGUGAAAUCUCGUAAUCCUUGGGGGACCACCGAUGGCGAAGGCAUCCCACCAGAACGGGUCCGACGGUGAGGGACGAAAGCUGGGGGCACGAACCGGAUUAGAUACCCGGGUAGUCCCAGCUGUAAACGAUGCUCGCUAGGUGUCAGGUGCGGUGCGACCGCAUCUGGUGCCGCAGUGAAAACUUGAAGCGAGUCACCUGGGAAGUACGGUCGCAAGGCUGAAACUUAAAGGAAUUGGCGGGGGA